GAGUUUGAUCCUGGCUCAGGAUGAACGCUGGCGGCGUGCUUAACACAUGCAAGUCGAACGGACUCAUAUUGAAACCUAGUGAUGUAUGAGUUAGUGGCGGACGGGUGAGUAACGCGUGGAGAACCUGCCGUAUACUGGGGGGAUAACACUUAGAAAUAGGUGCUAAUACCGCAUAAGCGCACAGCUUCGCAUGAAGCAGUGUGAAAAACUCCGGUGGUAUACGAUGGAUCCGCGUCUGAUUAGCUGGUUGGCGGGGUAAAGGCCCACCAAGGCGACGAUCAGUAGCCGGCCUGAGAGGGUGAACGGCCACAUUGGGACUGAGACACGGCCCAAACUCCUACGGGAGGCAGCA
rnacentral:rRNA from 1 species